rnacentral:rRNA from 1 species
UACGGAGACUGCAAGCGUUACUCGGAAUCACUGGGCGUAAAGGGUGCGUAGGUUGUUGGGUGUGACUGACGUGAAAUCCCAGGGCUUAACCCUGGAACUGCGUUGGUUCCUACCCAUCUAGAGUGUCGGAGAGGCAGGCGGAAUUCCCGGAGUAGCGGUGAAAUGCGUAGAUAUCGGGAAGAACACCGAAAGCGAAGGCAGCCUGCUGGACGACAACUGACACUGAGGCACGAAAGCGCGGGUAGCAAAAGGG